CAAACUAUAUCACUUUGAAUACAUAGGUUCUUGUUCGGUCACCGAAAUCAAGCAACGUCGGGCCCGGCCAGUAUUUGGGAGGGUGACUACCUGGGUACACCGGGUGCCGCAGGCA